GCUCGAGUGGCGAACGGGUGAGUAACACGUGAGUAACCUGCCCUUGACUUUGGGAUAACUUCAGGAAACUGGGGCUAAUACCGGAUAGGAGCUCCUGCUGCAUGGUGGGGGUUGGAAAGUUUCGGCGGUUGGGGAUGGACUCGCGGCUUAUCAGCUUGUUGGUGGGGUAGUGGCUUACCAAGGCUUUGACGGGUAGCCGGCCUGAGAGGGUGACCGGCCACAUUGGGACUGAGAUACGACCCAG
rnacentral:rRNA from 1 species